rnacentral:rRNA from 1 species
UCGUCCGCCCAGGGUUAGUCGGGACCUAAGCCGAGGCCGAAAGGCGUAGGUGAUGGACAAUCGGUUGAUAUUCCGAUACCGCCUAUUUACGUUUGAGAAAUGGGGUGACGCAGUAGGAUAAGAUGUGCGCACUAUUGGAUGUGCGUCUAAGCAUUUAGGCAUGCUUGAUAGGUAAAUCCGUCAAGCUAAGCUGAGGUGUGAUGGGGAGCCAUUUAUGGCGAAGUAUCUGAUUCCACACUGCCAAGAAAAGCCUCUAUCGAGUGAAUAGGUGCCCGUACCGCAAACCGACACAGGUAGGUGAGGAGAGAAUCCUAAGGCCAUCGGAAGAAUUGCUGUUAAGGAACUCGGCAAAUUGACCCCGUAACUUCGGGAGAAGGGGUGCCUACGAAAGUAGGCCGCAGAGAAUAGGCCCAAGCAACUGUUUAGCAAAAACACAGGUCUCUGCUAAAGCGAAAGCUGAUGUAUAGGGGCUGACGCCUGCCCGGUGCUGGAAGGUUAAGGGGAACACUUAGCGUAAGCGAAGGUGUGAACUUAAGCCCCAGUAAACGGCGGCCGUAACUAUAACGGUCCUAAGGUAGCGAAAUUCCUUGUCGGGUAAGUUCCGACCCGCACGAAUGGCGUAAUGAUUUGGGCACUGUCUCAACAGCAAAUCCGGCGAAAUUGUAGUGCAAGUGAAGAUGCUUGCUACCCGCGAUUGGACGGAAAGACCCCGUAGAGCUUUACUGUAGCUUAGCAUUGAAUCUCGGUAUUGUCUGUACAGGAUAGGUGGGAGACUUGGAAACUUAGGCGUCAGCCUGAGUGGAGUCAUCCUUGGGAUACCACCCUGACAGUACUGGGGUUCUAACCGGCGGCCAUGAAUCUGGUCACGGGACAUUGUUAGGUGGGCAGUUUGACUGGGGCGG